rnacentral:rRNA from 1 species
GAUGAACGCUGGCGGCGUGCCUAAUACAUGCAAGUCGAGCGAACAGACGAGGAGCUUGCUCCUCUGACGUUAGCGGCGGAUGGGUGAGUAACACGUGGAUAACCUACCUAUAAGACUGGGAUAACUUCGGGAAACCGGAGCUAAUACCGGAUAAUAUAUUGAACCGCAUGGUUCAAUAGUGAAAGACGGUUUUGCUGUCACUUAUAGAUGGAUCCGCGCCGCAUUAGCUAGUUGGUAAGGUAACGGCUUACCAAGGCAACGAUGCGUAGCCGACCUGAGAGGGUGAUCGGCCACACUGGAACUGAGACACGGUCCAGACUCCUACGGGAGGCAGCAGUAGGGAAUCUUCCGCAAUAGGCGAAAGCCUGACGGAGCAACGCCGCGUGAGUGAUGAAGGUCUUCGGAUCGUAAAACUCUGUUAUUAGGGAAGAACAAAUGUGUAAGUAACUAUGCACGUCUUGACGGUACCUAAUCAGAAAGCCACGGCUAACUACGUG